GGACUACUGGGGUAUCUAAUCCUGUUUGCUACCCACGCUUUCGCACCUCAGUGUCAGUAUCAGUCCAGGCAGUCGCCUUCGCCACUGGUGUUCCUUCCUAUAUCUACGCAUUUCACCGCUACACAGGAAAUUCCACUGCCCUCUACCGUACUCUAGUCAAGCAGUAUCAGGUGCAGUUCCCAGGUUAAGCCCGGGGCUUUCACAUCUGACUGACUCAACCACCUACGCGCGCUUUACGCCCAGUUAUUCCGAUUAACGCUCGCACCCUCCGUAUUACCGCGGCUGCUGGCAC
rnacentral:misc_RNA from 1 species